rnacentral:rRNA from 1 species
AUUCCAGCUCCAGUAGCGUAUAUUAAAGUUGUUGCAGUUAAAAAGCUCGUAGUUGGAUUUCUGACUUCAGAUACCUGACCCUCCCUCGCUAGAGGUGUGUGUGCCGGAGUAUUUGUAUCAUCCUUUCAGUGAUCGGCUCUACCCUUAACCGGGUCGGAGCUGCUAGCUGGAUCUUUUACUUUGAAGAAAUUGGAGUGUUUAAAGCAGGCUUACGCCAGAACAUAUUAGCAUGGAAUAAUAAUUUAGGACUUUUGUUCUAUUUUGUUGGUUUCUAGGACGAAAGUAAUGAUUGAUAGGGAUAGUUGGGGGUGCUAGUAUUCGGCGGCCAGAGGUGAAAUUCUUUGAUCCGCCGAAGACUAACUUAUGCGAAAGCAUUCACCAAGGAUGUCCUCAUCG